AUUGAACGCUGGCGGCAUGCCUUACACAUGCAAGUCGAACGGCAGCAUGGGUGCUUGCACCUGAUGGCGAGUGGCGAACGGGUGAGUAAUGCAUCGGAACGUACCCGGAAGUGGGGGAUAACGUAGCGAAAGUUACGCUAAUACCGCAUAUUCUGCGAGCAGGAAAGGGGGGGAUCGCAAGACCUCGCGCUGCCGGAGGGGCCGAUGUCGGAUUAGCUAGUUGGCGGGGUAAAGGCCCAACAAGGCAACGAUCCGUAGCGGGUCUGAGAGGAUGAUCCGCCACACUGGGACUGAGACACGGCCCAGACUCCUACGGGAGGCAGCAGUGGGGAAUUUUGGACAAUGGGGGCAACCCUGAUCCAGCCAUGCCGCGUGAGUGAAGAAGGCCUUCGGGUUGUAAAGCUCUUUCGGCCGGGAAGAAAUCGCACAGGUUAAUACCUUGUGUGGAUGACGGUACCGGAAUAAGAAGCACCGGCUAACUACGUGCCAGCCGCCGCGGUAAGAC
rnacentral:rRNA from 1 species